UGGUGUGUGUGUAGGUUUCAUUAUGCUAUGUAUAGGCAGGUGUCCCCUUCCUCCCUCACCGCUCCAUGUGCAUCCCUCCCGAAGCUGUGCGCUCGGUCGAAGAGGAUGACCAUCCCCGAUAGGGGAGGACGGGUCUUCAGUCAAGGGUAUACGAGUAGCUGCCCUCCCCUGCUAGAACCUCCAAACAAGCUCUCAAGGUCCAUUAUGCUAUGUAUGUAUGUAUAUAUAUAUGUAUAUAUGUUCACACAAACAAGAUUUAUGU
ensembl:misc_RNA 7SK 7SK RNA